UGGGUAUAAUACCCGAUAGUCCUUGAAUGCUGGAAUGCAUCGAGUUCGAAAGCUCCGGUGCCCAAGGAUGGGUCUGCGGCCUAUCAGGUAGUAGUGGGUGUAGCGUACCUACUAGCCUACGACGGGUACGGGUUGUGAGAGCAAGAGCCCGGAGAUGGAUUCUGAGACACGAAUCCAGGCCCUACGGGGUGCAGCAGGCGCGAAAACUUUACAAUGCCGGCAACGGCGAUAAGGGAACCUCGAGUGCCAGGUUACAAAUCUGGCUGUCGUGAUGCCUAAAAAGCAUUGCAUAGCAAGGGCCGGGCAAGACCGGUGCCAGCCGCCGCGGUAACACCGGCGGCUCGAGUGGUAACCGUUAUUAUUGGGUCUAAAGGGUCUGUAGCCGGCCGGAUAAGUCUCUUGAGAAAUAUGGCAGCUUAACUGUCAGGCUUUCAGGAGAUACUGUCUGGCUCGAGGCCGGGAGAGGUGAGAGGUACUUCAGGGGUAGGGGUGAAAUCUUGUAAUCCUUGAAGGACCACCAGUGGCGAAGGCGUCUCACCAGAACGGACCUGACGGCAAGGGACGAAAGCUAGGGGCACGAACCGGAUUAGAUACCCGGGUAGUCCUAGCCGUAAACGAUACUCGCUAGGUGUCGGCCACGGUGCGACCGUGGUCGGUGCCGUAGGGAAGCCGUGAAGCGAGCCACCUGGGAAGUACGGCCGCAAGGCUGAACUUAAAGGAAUUGGCGGGGGAGCACCACAACGGGUGGAGCUUGCGGUUUAAUUGGAUUCAACGCCGGAAAUCUUACCGGGACCGACAGCAAUAUGAAGGCCAGGCUGAAGACUUUGCCGGAUUAGCUGAGAGGUGGUGCAUGGCCGUCGUCAGUUCGUACUGUGAAGCAUCCUGUUAAGUC
rnacentral:rRNA from 1 species